AAUGGGAUGCACUGGGAUGUAAUGGGAUGCACUGGGACAUACUGGGAUAUAAUGGGAUGCAAUGGGAUAUACUGGGAUGUAAUGGGAUAAACUGGGAUAUAAUGGGAUAUACUGGGAUAUAAUGCGAUAUACUGGGAUAUACUGGGAUGUAAUGGGAUAUAAUGGGAUAUAAUGGGAUAUACUGGGAUAUACUGGGAUGUAAUGGGAUAUACUGGGAUAUACUGGGAUAUACUGGGAUAUACUGGGAUAUACUGGGAUGGUGGCACUGGGAUAUACUGGGAUAUACUGGGAUAUACUGGGAUAUAAUGGGAUAUACUGGGAUAUAAUGGGAUAUACUGGGAUAUACUGGGAUAUAAUGGGAUAUACUGGGAUGUAAUGGGAUGUAAUGGGAUAUAAUGGGAUGUAAUGGGAUAUACUGGGAUGUAAUGGGAUGUACUGGGAUAUACUGGGAUGUAAUGGGAUGUACUGGGCUGUACUGGGGGGUGGUGUAAACUGGAGCUACAGGGAGUGGCUGUGUUCUAUGGGGGGCAGUGGGGAAUGAACUGGGAUAGAUUGGGGGGGGGACACACACUGUGUCUGGUCCCACCUAACUGCCCUUCUGCAGCUGGAGGACUCGGAGUCGCUCUUUGCGGGUGACGACCCCUCCGCCCUCGUGGUGCUACUGGUCCUUACUGGGAGCACUGGUUUCACACUGGUUUCACACCCCCCCCCCCAUAAUUUCUAGCUGUCCCCGGAGCAGCCAUAUUGCUACGUGCCCCCCCCAGCCCCCCCCAUCGCACCCCCAUACGCUGCUGCGCUGCAAUGGCAACGGGGGGGGGGGCGAUCGUGCGAGGGGGUGGGCGUGCAAGGAGCAUCGUGGGAGCAGCUGAGUGUGCAAGGAGCCACGUGUGAGCAGCUGAGUGUGCAAGGAGCUUCAGGGGGGCGACUGAGUGUGCAAGGAGCCUCGUGCAAGGAGAUGGGUGUGCAAGGAGCCUCGUGUGAGCAACUGGGUGUGCAAGGAGCCUCGUGUGAGCAACUGGGUGUGCAAGGAGCCUCAUGCAAGGGAAUGAGUGUGCAAGGAGCAUCAUGUGAACAACCAGAUGUGCAAGGAGCCUUGUUCAAUGAGAUGAGUGUGCAAGGAGCCUCGUGGGAGCAGCUGAGUGUGCAAGGAGCUUCAGGGGGGCNNNNNNNNNNNNNNNNNNNNNNNNNAUAUGGGGUUAUAUGGGUUAAUGGGGUGUGUUAUGGUGGGGAUAUUGGUGGUUAUGGGGUUAUUAUGGGUGUUAUAUGGGUUGUUAUAUGGGGUUAUAUGGCGUUAUAUGGGGGGAUUUAUGGGGGAUUAUGGGUGUUUAUGGUGGUUAUAUGGUGGUUAUUUAUGGGGUUAUAUGGGGUUUAUAUGGGGUUAUAUGGGGGGAUAUGGGCGUUUAUAUGGGGUUAUAUGGGGUUUAUGAUGGGGUUAUAUGGGUUAUAUUGGGGUUUGGGGUUAUAUGGGGUUUAUAUGGGGUUACUAUGGGAG
rnacentral:lncRNA from 1 species